UACAGAGGUCCCAAGCGUUGUUCGGAUUCAUUGGGCGUAAAGGGUGCGUAGGCGGCGCGGUAAGUCGGGUGUGAAAUCUCGGGGCUUAACUCCGAAACUGCAUUCGAUACUGCCGUGCUUGAGGACUGGAGAGGAGACUGGAAUUUACGGUGUAGCGGUGAAAUGCGUAGAUAUCGUCAGGAAGACCAGUGGCGAAGGCGGGUCUCUGGACAGUUCCUGACGCUGAGGCACGAAGGCCAGGGGAGCAAACGGG
rnacentral:rRNA from 1 species